rnacentral:rRNA from 1 species
UACAGAGGUCCCAAGCGUUGUUCGGAUUCAUUGGGCGUAAAGGGUGCGUAGGCGGUCGGGUAAGUCGGAUGUGAAAUCUUAGGGCUCAACCCUGAAACUGCAUUCGAUACUGCCUGGCUAGGGUACUGGAGAGGAGACUGGAAUUUACGGUGUAGCAGUGAAAUGCGUAGAUAUCGUAAGGAAGACCAGUGGCGAAGGCGAGUCUCUGGACAGUUACCGACGCUGAGGCACGAAGGUCAGGGGAGCAAACGGG